CUUCUCUGGAGUUUUGUAGUGAGCCCAGGACACAGAGGUGAUCUGAUCUGAAUAUAAACUAGCUCAGAGUUCACUUCAGAGAGGACCCCAGCAAUUUCUGACCAACGCUUUCGGGAGCAAUGUGGUUGCCUGUGUGUCAAAGCUUCCUAGGACUGGUUUCACUUGCUUUAAUUGGAUUACAUAGAGGGAGAACUUUGCAUUCAAGAAGAUCUGCUUUAAUCUACAAAUUUCAGCAACAAAUUAGAAGGAACACCUGCAUGACCAUGGGUAACACUGAAAUUUAUAAAUGUUGACACCACAUCACAUUUAUGAAGACUCAGUGUGAAGGAAGACUCCUUUCCUGGGAGCACAAAGACUUCUGCUGCCAUUGCUACUGACGCUUGUCAUGCAGCUGACUCCUGAGGGUUCACAAUGUGGGAUUUAAAAACUGAAAAUGGGCAUUCCUGCCAUGCACAGAGCACUGAAUGUCUCAUACAGAUAAUUCCAUAGUGUAUACAUGUUCCUUGGGACACUUGACAACACUUUCUGCCUCUUCCACUGCUAUACAUCCAGACCUGAUUUCUCCUCCUGCAGUAGCAAAGUUUGUUUCCUAACAAUACUGUAAACUCUUCAAAUAACCAAACUGCUUGUAAAGCAUCAAGCCCAAGGCAAGAAAGUGAAAAAUAUCUAAGAAAUAGAGAGAAAAUAACAUAAGACCCAUAGUUUUUUUUCUUCUAUGGCAAAAUAGUGGUAGCAGGUAUCAUCUGCCCUAGUUUUGUGCCUUGCACAUUGUUGUGGGACCUUGUGGCAUGCCGAAACACUUCAAGAACAUGAAUUAAAAUUGUUGAGAGAUCUUGAAUAUAAUUGAUCUUGUAUGGGCCAGGAAGAUGUAUUACAUUACUUACCUGGGUCCUUCCUAAAUGUUCGGUGAAUUUACAAUCCUCUAACAAGCGUUAUGGCUUUUGUUAAUGGAAGGUUCCAGGAAACAAGUUCUCAAGCAGACUUUCUGAUGAAAUUGUUUUCUGCUACCAGUAUGGUGAAGGACAAAACUCAAAACUAAUCUCCAAACCCUUGAAAUGAGGUGAUGAGUUUCUUAGCAACCUGCUCUGUGUUUGAGAUCAAAGGUCACCGUGGUCUAGAACCUGAGCAGGAAACAAAAUAAAAAGAUGCACUUAAUGACUUACCAGCUGAAAAAUGACUUGUGUUCCAGUUAGAAUGAGACACCAUCCAUGUUUUCUAUCUGCAAGUGGGCAUUAGGAGAAAUGCUGACUCCAGAGAUUGCUUUGUGUGCAUUUUACAAGUGAUGAAAACUAUUUUAAUCUAUUUGCAAGAAUUACUUAAAAAUGAUUGUGAAAGCAGUAUUGCUUCUUGUCUUGCUCUAGUCUUCCUUUUUAUUUCUCUAACUCUCCCUGCUAGUCUCCAUGCUAGUGACAGCCAUUCUUGUUUUCUGU